rnacentral:rRNA from 1 species
GACGAACGCUGGCGGCGUGCUUAACACAUGCAAGUCGAACGGAAAGGCCCUGCUUUUGUGGGGUGCUCGAGUGGCGAACGGGUGAGUAGCACGUGAGUAACCUGCCCUUGACUUUGGGAUAACUUCAGGAAACUGGGGCUAAUACCGGAUAGGAGCUCCUGCUGCAUGGUGGGGGUUGGAAAGUUUCGGCGGUUGGGGAUGGACUCGCGGCUUAUCAGCUUGUUGGUGGGGUAGUGGCUUACCAAGGCUUUGACGGGUAGCCGGCCUGAGAGGGUGACCGGCCACAUUGGGACUGAGAUACGGCCCAGACUCCUACGGGAGGCAGCAGUGGGGAAUAUUGCACAAUGGGCGGAAGCCUGAUGCAGCAACGCCGCGUGCGGGAUGACGGCCUUCGGGUUGUAGACCGCUUUCGCCUGUGACGAAGCGUGAGUGACGGUAAUGGGUAAAGAAGCACCGGCUAACUACGUG